CUCACAUCUCCUUACAGUGUUCAACACCCAAGUCAAAAUAAAAGCAAAAAGAGGCCCUAAUGAGCUGCUGAACUUGCCAAAUGAAACAGGAGCUCAAAAAAGGCACUGCACAGCCAGCAUAAUUUUAAAACAGAAUUUUUAGGUUAAGUCUUAAAGGAAAAGGAGCCCACAGAUUGGGAAGCUCCUACCUGCCGUGGUUUCUUCCAAACCUCUUAAUUCCCUGCUCCUGUCCGAGAAAAGCAUCUACAGACAUGGAUACGUAUCGCUGAGCAUUUCCUGCACCACAGCCGUGUUGGAAAGGAGCCGCAAAACCAGAGCACAAUGGGGCAGCAAGUGUUAUGGAUCUUGAGAGCAGAUGGACCUGGGCGAGCUACAGCAUUUUGGUCCUUCAGCCACUCUGCAGUCCUGGAAUCUAUUGGCACUUUCACACAGGGACACAUGAAGGGGAUGAGUGGUGACUGCAUGAAGAUACUUCUAAUCCGAUUUAGAAGCAACAACAAGGCUGGAGAAGAGCUCAGGAGGUCAGCCACCAAAACACACACACUCCCACAUUAUCCCAGAUACCUUCUCCUAACCCUAUAAAUCCAAACACAGACACACUGCAAAACAAAACAAAACAGUCUUAAAGACAUUCAGGAAAGCAAAGACAUAUUUUGCUUUUGCUGCUUUAUUCCUGUAAAAAGGUGAGGUUUGUCCACCACCACUCCACAAACAUCAUCCCCAGCUUGUUGCCCAUGCCUGGGGUCAACUAUUUGCCCUCAGCACUUUGUAUCAUGUCUCUGUUCCACUGGAGGAUGUGGAAUGCAAUAGGAACUUUCUGCCUCAGCAGCAAUUCAGCACAACUGUUUGCUUAACUGUUGCGAGAGAACAUAAUUUCUCUCCAGAAAAAAAAAUUCCUAUUAAAAUAUACGUUUCUAUCUCCUUGUCUUUGGAAUAACUGAGACAAGCUACAGCUGUAAAAACCAGCUGAACAAGCUGCCAGGAUGCCUUACUGGGAGCUGAACGUUUAGUUUAUUAUUCUUAACUAAAGAGAAGAAAGCACAGCACUCCGUACUGUUUUAAGUACUGUGAUUUCUGCUAAAAACCACAGAGCACACAGGCUGCAAUUAUGCCAUGACUCUGCUAUUGUUAAGCUUUCCUUACUACAAUACAACUAAUAUGCCUGGAGACUAAGAUUUAGAUUUGCAAAGCUACUUACAGUCUUUAAAGUACCACUCCCAAAAAUUAAAAUGAAAGGGAGCUAGGUGUCUGCCUCUAUCGCAAUGUUAAUUUAUAGGUCUUUCAGUAUAAGUUCCCUGGCAGAGGAAAUACAAAGUGCUUUUCUCACUUUGCACCGGUGAUAACCACUGCCAACAGAGGCCCAGAGACAGGACUGGAGACCACAUUGGAAGGACAACCCUGCAAAUUUCUGGGGGAUGAGCAGUCCUGCAUCUCAUAAGUGGUAUUCCCCAGGGGUUCAUCUUGGGACCGGUACUCUUUAAUAUCUUUAUCAACAACAUAGACAGUGGGAUGGAGCGCACCCUCAGCAGUUUGCUGAUGACACCGAGCUGAGUGGUGCAGUUCAUACAACAGAAGGAAGGGACGCCAUCCAGAGGGCACUGCACAGGCUCAGAAAGUGGGCACGUGAGAACUGAAUGAAGUUUAACAAGGCCAAGUGAAAGGUGCUGCACAUGGGUCAGGGCAGUCCCAGACAUCUGGACAGAACGGAAAAGAACUCCAAAGCAAUCCUUUCCUCAGAGGGCGGUGAGGCGCUGGCACUGCUGCCCAGAGAGCUGUGGGUGCCCCAUCCCUGCAGGCACUCAAGGCCAGGUGGGAUGGGGCCCUGGGCAGCCUGAGCUGGUGGGGGGCAGCCCUGCCCAUGGCCAGGGAUUGGGAAUGGGUCAUCUUUAUUGUCCCCUCCAACCUGAGCCAGCCUAUGAUUCUAUGAGACUACAAUUUGCUCAUCCUACUGCUGUGGGUUGUUGGGGUCUUACCACGGGCUGCAGCAUUCAAUGCCAAGAACAGCUUUUAACAAAUUUAAGUUGAAUUCCAUUAAAUUAAAAAUACAUAAAGC
ensembl:lncRNA